AUUCAGCAAAGACAGAAGAGUCUCUCUAUCAAUGUUUAUAUAUUCAAUAUAUAUUGUGAGCAUAACAACUCCUCUUAUCUUACUUGUCAAUUACAAUUACUCUUUCUCACUUGUCAAAUUGUUGGGAGAUCUUCAGAACACAUGCCAUCAUUUGGCGCAAUUCAUAGACAUGGCGUCCCUAACAAGUGAUUUUGUAUAACAAGAAAACAUGAUGGAAAUUGCCACAGAAAUCUAUAUAAAUGCAUCUCAAACCUUGGUGGUAGCGAUUGAUUAUUUCCUGAAACGAUGAAAAUAGCAAAUAUAUGAACAUUUCUGCAAAGGAAAAUGUGAGGGGAGGCUGACCAAUAACUAGUUCCUUUGGCCUGUUAUUCAGGAAAAAAGAAACUUGUGAAAUAUUUGCUCUGCUCCAAAACUGCAAGAAUGUAUAACUUUUUACUGCGACAAAUGCUGAAUUAUCUUGUCGGAAAAAAAUUUUCCGAUGCAAGAAGUAGAUUCUUUUCAGGUUGUGGACCAUCCUCUAGACGGUCUGACACGAGGGCAACGGUGAUGAUGUAAUAGCAUAACAGGAUCAGUGAUUAUAUUUUUGCCGAUUGUCAGGCGGCCCGUUAAGCAAU